rnacentral:rRNA from 1 species
GACAGAGGGUGCAAACGUUGUUCGGAAUUACUGGGCGUAAAGCGAGUGUAGGCGGUUUGAUAAGUCGGAUGUGAAAGCCCCGGGCUCAACCCGGGAAGUGCACUCGAUACUGUCAAGCUAGAGUAUCGGAGAGGUGAGUGGAACUGCGAGUGUAGAGGUGAAAUUCGUAGAUAUUCGCAAGAACACCAGUGGCGAAGGCGGCUCACUGGCCCGGUACUGACGCUGAGGUGCGAAAGCGUGGGGAGCAAACAGGG